ensembl:snRNA U6 U6 spliceosomal RNA
AUGCUUUAGCAGCACAAAUACUAAAAUUAAAAUGAUAGAGUGUUAGCAUGGCCCCUGCACAAGGAUGACAUGCAAAACAGAUGACUGGAUAAAGAAAAU